rnacentral:rRNA from 1 species
UACAGAGGGUGCAAACGUUGCUCGGAAUUAUUGGGCGUAAAGCGCAUGUAGGCGGCAUAGUAAGUUCGCUGUGAAAGCCCUUGGCUCAACCAAGGAAGUGCAGCGAAAACUGCUAAGCUCGAGUUCUGAAGAGGGUCGCGGAAUGGCCAGUGUAGAGGCGAAAUUCGUAGAUAUUGGCUAGAGCACCAGUGGCGAAGGCGGCGACCUGGGAAGAUACUGACGCUGAGAUGCGAAAGCGUGGGGAGCAAACAGG